AGUGAACGCUGGCGGUAUGCCUAACACAUGCAAGUCGAACGACCACACAGUAAGCUUUUUCCCUUACGGGUGGCGACUGACGGACGGGUGACACAUACAUCACAAUCUUCUAUUACUUGGAUGACAACGGGAAGACACUUCCGCUAAUACCUCAUAUGUCCUACGGGUUAAAGCAGUAGAUCUUCACGCCUUUCGUGUUUCUAUGAGCCGAUGUCGCAUUAGCUAGUUGGCGUGGUAAAGGCCCACCAAGGCGACGAUCCGUAGCUGGUCUGAGAGGAUGAUCAGCCACACUGGAACUGAGACACGGUCCAGACUCCUACGGGAGGCAGCAGUGGGGAAUAUUCGACAAUGGGCGAAAGCCUGACGCAGCAAUGCCGCGUGGGUGAAGAAGGCCUUCGGGUCGUAAAGCCCUUUUGUUAGGAAAGAAAAGCAGCAGGAUAAUACAUGCACGUCUUGACGGUACCCAAAGAAUAAGCCACGGCUAACUACGUG
rnacentral:rRNA from 1 species